UUAGGUUUAAAGUUGGCAUUUUCUUUUUAAGUUGGAAUUUUCACAUCCACAGAAGGGAGACUUAACUACAUAAUUUUCAGUAUACUUUGAUAUCCUGCCUUUUAAACAAUAACCAAGGUGCUGUAUUUUGUAUAAUAUCUAUUGUCCUCAAAUUUCUUGACAUUUAUUUCUCAUAUAGUCUUAUCCUUAUUUCCUAUUCCAUCAUUUCUCUCUUGCUUGCUCUUACCUUCAUUUCUCUUUCUGCAAUGAAGACUGUACCUAAUUUAGCAAACUUCAACAAAACUGGCAAUUUAUGAUUCAUUGAUGGGAGAAGUACAGUAGAAAGGCCCUGCAGUUUAGAGUUAAGAUGUGUUUGUUUAUUUAUAUGUGUGCCCAUUUGUUACUCUUAGACCUAUCUUAAUUAAAUUUAGAAUAUGAUACUUUGACAUAAAAGCAUUGUAAGUAUUUUCUAAAAAAUAAAACUAUUGAUACAUAUUAAAAUUGCCAUUGGUAAUUGACUUUUGAAAUCACAUACAAGAAUAUUUAGAAACCCACUUGGGAAAUGUGGUUUACAUGUGUCACCAGAUACAUAUUAGGCAGUACUACAAAUGUUAAUUCUUUAAACAAUACUGUGGUGAUGGCAAUCAGUAAUUUAUUUCUUUGUCCUGUAACUUAUCAUCCUUGUCUUUUGUAAUUCCUAACAAAGUAUUAACAAAAUUGUACCUUAUGUUUGUUCUUAGUAUCCGUAAAUUUUAAGGUGGAAAAUCAUUCAGUUAAUAGUUGAUGUGAUGUUGUAUAUGGACAAAAUGUCCAUUAAACUAAAAUUCAGUAAAGAAAGGUAAACUAAACUGGCUUGGUUUAUAAAAGAUGUUUUGUUUGGCAGUUAUUAGUCAUUAUAAGCAAUUAUCUUCAAAGAAAUAAAAAACUGGACUAAUUUGUUGCCAUUCUUUAUGGGAUGUUUACAAUAAAAUUCCAAGUUGUUUGGAA
rnacentral:lncRNA from 1 species